rnacentral:lncRNA from 1 species
UAUUUUAAUAAGCCUGGCAGAUGAUUCUGUUGCCUGUGGGAGUCUGAGAACAACUGCCUCAAGUUUUAUAGGGGGAGGGCCCCAGUGGGGAGGCCUACAGCUCUCCACUAUAUGUGCUGUGACCUGGCAGUAUCCUAUCAGUCCUAUGAGUCAGCCAUAUACAGCAUGGAACAGGGCUCCACAAGGACAUGAAUACCAGGUGGCAGGGAUCACUGGGCCAUCUCUCUAAAUCACGAAUGAAACAUUUGCAACCUGUGUCUCCCAAACAUGAUAUGUCUCAAUCAUCAAAGGAUCUACAGUGACUACAAUAACCAAGUGCUACAAAAACGCUGUGACGAGGAAUCUGAACAACAGAGAUUUGAGGGAAACAAAACACUUUCGACGAAGGUCCUGCUGCUUGUCUUCAGCUUGGUACCAAUUAGAGCUUCACUGGAGGUGAAAAGGGCAGACACGGUUGCUGAGUGGCUGGUUGGAGAGUCCCUGAGAGAUUACCCAAGAAACUCAGUUGCGGCACGUGGUGGAGCAGCCUCUCAGGUGAAAAUAAAUUCACACUGCACGUGGAUAUCUGCCUGGGAGUACUUGUCAUUCACUGCAUAGUUCAUCUCUAUGAAGAACCUGCGUAUUUCUUUGUCAAAUGAGAAACUGCAAAAUGG